rnacentral:rRNA from 1 species
GACGAACGCUGGCGGCGUGCUUAACACAUGCAAGUCGAACGGAAAGGCCCUGCUUUUGUGGGGUGCUCGAGUGGCGAACGGGUGAGUAACACGUGAGUAACCUGCCCUUGACUUUGGGAUAACUUCAGGAAACUGGGGCUAAUACCGGAUAGGAGCUCCUGCUGCAUGGUGGGGGUUGGAAAGUUUCGGCGGUUGGGGAUGGACUCGCGGCUUAUCAGCUUGUUGGUGGGGUAGUGGCUUACCAAGGCUUUGACGGGUAGCCGGCCUGAGAGGGUGACCGGCCACAUUGGGACUGAGAUACGGCCCAGAUUCCUACGGGAGGCAGAAGUGGGGAAUAUGGCCCAAUGGGCGGAAGCCUGAUGCAGCAACGCCGCGUGCGGGAGGACGGCCUUCGGGUGGUAAACCGCUUUCGCCGGUGACGAAGCGUGAGUGACGGUAAUGGGGAAAGAAGCACCGGCUAACUACGU